rnacentral:rRNA from 1 species
ACGAACGCUGGCGGCGUGCUUAACCCAUGCCAGUCGAACGGGAUUUAGUAAACGGAAGCCUCGGUGGAAGAUUACUAAUGAGAGUGGCGAACGGGUGAGUAACGCGUGAGCAACCUGCCUAUGACAGUGGGAUAGCCUCGGGAAACCGGGAUUAAUACCGCAUAAAAUCGUAGAAACACAUGUUUCAACGGUCAAAGAUUUAUCGGUCAUAGAUGGGCUCGCGUCUGAUUAGCUAGUUGGUGAGAUAACAGCCCACCAAGGCGACGAUCAGUAGCCGGUCUGAGAGGAUGAACGGCCACAUUGGAACUGAGACACGGUCCAAACUCCUACGGGAGGCAGCAGUGGGGAAUAUUGCACAAUGGGGGAAACCCUGAUGCAGCGACGCCGCGUGAACGAAGAAGGUAUUCGUAUCGUAAAGUUCUGUCCUAUGGGAAGAUAAUGACAGUACCAUAGAAGAAAGCUCCGGCUAAAUACGUG